CCCAGAUGAAGACAGCUGACUAUUGAAACGUUGGUCUUGUUAAAAAACAAUUUUUAUACCCAUUUGAGUUUAGAGUGUGCGGCUUUUUCAUUCAUUUUGUUCCUUAUUUACAAACAAGAUUGUUAAAAUCUUUCUCUGCAAUGCCAUAAGACCAACCCACCUCCACAGUACCUACACAGUCCUCUUCAGACACCAAACUCAGGAUGCCGUACAUCACAGAUAUUGAUGUUUCCAUUUAUCCUGAAGAGGAGCAAGGCCUAAGGAACCAAGGUUUCCAAGGAAUCAAUGUUGAUUUAAACAAAGGCACUAGCGGAAACCAUAUUUACCUCUGGUACAAGAACGGCAGCAGCAAUCCCAUCACCAGAUUGCAGGUUACAUUCAGAGAUGACAUGCAAAUUGGUUUGAGAAAUGCAGGUUACCAUAAGGUGGAUAGAGACCUCAAAGCAGGGGCUGGAGGAGAUAACAUCUUUCUCUGGUACUACAAAGGUACAACUGAGUAUGACAACCCUAUAGUGGAUCUUAAGGUUACCAAAGAUGCAGAAGAUGAAGCCCCAUUUUACAAGAAUGACUGGGAACGACUGGCGUGUGACCUGAAUGCAAAAGCUAAAGGGCUACACCCGUGUGGAUGAAGAUGUGAAUCGAGGUGCAGGAGGAGCCUUUGUCUUUCUUUGGUAUCGUCCUUCCCUAACACAGUCCCAAUGGUUCAAUCAACUGGAUGUCCACUAACCACAAUGAAGAGGAAAGCCUUCAGGAACAGGGUUAUUAAAAAAAAAAAAAAGCCAUAUAGAUGGCAAAAUGAGUUCCUACACUAGACUAGUGAACACUUGUUUUAUCAUUCUAACAGAUAGUAAGUGACUCCCUGAGAUAUUGCUUGCUCCCAUCUGCCAUUGUCUAUAGGCUUGAGGAACAAUAAUUGUGUCUCUUUGUGAUACAGAUGAAAGAGAAUGUGCAGCUUCUCCAAUUGACAAAAGAAUCUUGCCUGGCCUCCGUUUGACCAAAGUAAAUGCAGCAUUUUAUGAUUCACUUUGUAUGAACCCAAAAUAAUUAAUGGGCACAGCAGUUUGUGAAUCACUAUAAUUCCAUUGUUAUUACAAUCAUAUUAUCUUUUAUAACAAUGCAAAAAUGUUAUAUUUCCACCCUUCAACAUGUCAACAC
rnacentral:lncRNA from 1 species